UGUAUGGUUAAGUGACUAAGCGUACACGGUGGAUGCCUGGGCAGUCAGAGGCGAUGAAGGACGUACUAACUUGCGAUAAGCGCAGAUAAGGCAGUAAGAGCCGUUUGAGUCUGCGAUUUCCGAAUGGGGAAACCCAACUGCAUAAGCAGUUACUGUUAACUGAAUACAUAGGUUAACAGAGCAAACCGGGGGAACUGAAACAUCUAAGUACCCCGAGGAGAAGAAAUCAACCGAGAUUCCGGUAGUAGCGGCGAGCGAACCUGGAUUAGCCCUUAAGCACUCGGUGAAGUAGGUGAACAAGCUGGAAAGCUUGGCGAUACAGGGUGAUAGCCCCGUAACCGACGCUUCAUCGAGCGUGAAAUCGAGUAGGGCGGGACACGUGAUAUCCUGUCUGAAUAUGGGGGGACCAUCCUCCAAGGCUAAAUACUCCUGACUGACCGAUAGUGAACCAGUACCGUGAGGGAAAGGCGAAAAGAACCCCUGUGAGGGGAGUGAAAUAGAACCUGAAACCGUGUACGUACAAGCAGUAGGAGCACCUUCGUGGUGUGACUGCGUACCUUUUGUAUAAUGGGUCAGCGACUUAUAUUCAGUGGCAAGGUU
rnacentral:rRNA from 1 species